GGCGACAUAGCUCAGUUGGGAGAGCAGCAGACUGAAGUGUAGUCGAUAUGCAGAAUCAUUGAUCUGAAGGUCCCGUGUUCAAGCCACGGUGUUGCCA